GACGAACGCUGGCGGCGUGCCUAAUACAUGCAAGUAGAACGCUGAAGGAGGAGCUUGCUUCUCUGGAUGAGUUGCGAACGGGUGAGUAACGCGUAGGUAACCUGCCUGGUAGCGGGGGAUAACUAUUGGAAACGAUAGCUAAUACCGCAUAAGAGUAGAUGUUGCAUGACAUUUGCUUAAAAGGUGCAAUUGCAUCACUACCAGAUGGACCUGCGUUGUAUUAGCUAGUUGGUGAGGUAACGGCUCACCAAGGCGACGAUACAUAGCCGCCCUGAGAGGGGGAACGGCGCAACUGGGACUGGGACAAGGCCCAGACUCCUACGGGAGGCAGCAGUAGGGAAUCUUCGGCAAUGGACGGAAGUCUGACCGAGCAACGCCGCGUGAGUGAAGAAGGUUUUCGGAUCGUAAAGCUCUGUUGUAAGAGAAGAACGAGUGUGAGAGUGGAAAGUUCACACUGUGACGGUAUCUUACCAGAAAGGGACGGCUAACUACGUG
rnacentral:rRNA from 1 species